GAUGGAAUAGGAUUGCACUUAAGACCGUUUCAAUAAACAAUCUUAUCUUUAGUCACAGACUUAGUCCUAACUUUUGACUUAGGACCAAAUUGUACUCUCGAAUUGAAGUUAAAAAAUAUAGCGCACGCGCUGUUUGCCGCAAUAUGUCAUUCGUCUGCGACAAAAUAAGGGAAGCGCCGCAGGAAAGCUACAGAACAGAUCGGACUCUGAAUACCUUGUUCUUACAGAGGCUGUAAAGAUCUUUCUCCCAGUAAGAAGGAAAAACAUGCUCCUUUUGUUACCAAUAGCGCUUAAUGGAGUGUCUGGGAGUCGGUGGUUGAUCGGUCACAGCAUGCUGAUAGAGAUCCUCAGCUCAUAUGGUAGCCAGGGUUUAGCAGUGAGCUGACUCAAAAGAUGCCAUUUAGUGAUUUAAUGUGGAUAAUCCAUUCAGAUCAUUCACCAAUGAUGUACAACACUGAUGGAACUGAAGGCAAUACUUGCACUGACAGUCAGGGCUGGUUAUUUAAAGUAUAUAUAAUUAGAUGUACCUCCUGAUGUACCUCCUUAAAUACGAGAUUUCUGCCAUGUGAAAGGAGCAAGUUGAAAGAAGCACUGUUGGAGAUGGGGUCCAUGAACCUUAUGUAUACAGCUAUAUGAACAAGGGCUGGAACAAAGCAGACAAGACUGGACUUUUAAUUGUUAAUGAAUAUUUUAAGUUGUAUUGUAUGUCACCAGUAUAAUAGGGUUAUUAUAAAAGUAGUUAGAUCUUGGAUGUGGUAUUUGGCUUGGAGUGCAUUUUGCCAGACCUGGAACACACGAGGCCUGCAAGCGCAAAGUCUGACCCGCUGUGGUAAAAUCGCCAAAGGCCUAAUACAACCUCCCAGAUCAAGCUACUGUUAUAAUCGUACUUUAAUUUUUUAUCUCCAUGUACUAAAAAUCAUUUCACAAAAAUACCCUAGCGUUACAGGCGAUAUAUUAAAUUUGGUACGCCUUUAAAGUUUAAAUUGAUGUUGUUGUUCUUGUUUAUACACAAUUGAUUACCGUGCCUUGUUUACAUGUGGGAUUUAUUGUUUGAAAAUGAAAUAAAAAUGUUUAAAAUGAAUAAGAAAAUGUCAUUAUCAAAAGCUUGCACUUUUAUGUUAAGGGAGUAGUGACAGGAAAUUUUCCAUUUUUUGUAGCUCAACCUGAUCACAAAGUGCUCAGGGGUGAGUAAUUGUUGUCACUCAUUGCAUGUCUAUCCGCCCGUCCAUACUUUUCUUAACCUACAUCUCUUAAAUCAUUUGGUGGCAGGCAGAUGAUGAAACUUGGCUUGGAUGUCCUCUGGAUAUUCCUGCCUUUCCCUAGGGAAAAACCUUGUCUAAAGUACUGUAACUAUUAUGACGUCAUAAACUAUAUAAAUUUUGUCAGGAAAACACAGAUCUAUUUGCCUCCAUGAUCUAAUUUUAACGUGAUGAGCAAGAAAAAUUAUCUAACAUGUCUGCAUGUGUAAGACAGCUGUUUCCCUAUCCUCGGGACAGCUCGGAUAAUGCUUGGUUUUUCAUUCCACACUAUCCCUCGUGGUAUAGAAAAACCUGUCUUACAUCGGCAGGCAUGUAAGAUCCUUAUAGUCUUGUUAUGCAUAUUAUUGGUAUGCUCAGCUUCAGUGCUUUUCAGUGAAGUUCUAUUGAUUUGUUAUAUUUUAUCUUGUUUAUACUACUUGCUGUAAACAAUUAGGCUGAAUUUCACCAAAUCUCGCAAGUGAUUAGUGUGGAGCAAAGUUGUGCAUAUUAUCUUCAUGUUCUAAUAAAUAAUUUUUAUCAGAGUCAUGACCCUUGAUUUGUCAGAAUCUUUGAUCUGUGCUACUUCUCCUAUAUCACACUAAGGGUUAAAAUGGCAUUUUUAGACAUUUUUUGUUUUUAUUAGGGCUCUGGUGAGCUAUUAGGAUCACUCACCGUCCGUCAUCCGUUGUCCGUAAACUUUUACUUCAAACGACAUCUCCUCAUUAACCGCUAGGCAAA
rnacentral:lncRNA from 1 species